UGGGGAAUAUUGCACAAUGGAGGAAACUCUGAUGCAGCGACGCCGCGUGAGGGAAGAAGGUCUUCGGAUUGUAAACCUCUGUCUUCGGGGACGAUAAUGACGGUACCCGAGGAGGAAGCCACGGCUAACUACGUGCCAGCAGCCGCGGUAAAACGUAGGUGGCAAGCGUUGUCCGGAAUUACUGGGUGUAAAGGGAGCGCAGGCGGAGCGGCAAGUUGGAAGUGAAAUACAUGGGCUCAACCCAUGAACUGCUUUCAAAACUGUCGGUCUUGAGUGGUGCAGAGGUAGGCGGAAUUCCCGGUGUAGCGGUGGAAUGCGUAGAUAUCGGGAGGAACACCAGUGGCGAAGGCGGCCUACUGGGCACUAACUGACGCUGAGGCUCGAAAGUAUGGGGAGCAAACAGGAUUAGAUACCCUGGUAGU
rnacentral:rRNA from 1 species